UGCAAAUUGGAUCACCCUGAGCCAACCAGCUAGCUUAACUAAAAAUAUAAUGUAGCACUGUUUAUAACCAACCAAGACCUAACCCCACCAACUAAACCAUUUUUUUACCUAAGUAUGGGAGACAGAAAGGGCUCACCUGAAGCAAUAGAAAAAGUACCGCAAGGAAAGCUGAAAGAGAAAUGAAAUAAUCCAUAUAAGCACUAAAAAACAAAGACUAAACCUUGUACCUUUUGCAUCAUGAUUUAGCCAGCACCCUCAAGCGAAGAGACCUUUAGUUUGAUACCCCGAAACCAGGUGAGCUACCCCGAGACAGCCUAUAUAUUUAGGGCUAACCCGUCUCUGUGGCAAAAGAGUGGGAUGAGCUCCGGGUAGAAGUGAUAAACUUACCGAACCUGGUGAUAGCUGGUUGCCUAAGAAAUGAAUAGAAGUUCAGCCUCGUCCACCCUUUGUCAGGAAAUAUACUACUAAGACACCUUGGAAAUACACGAGAGUUAGUUUAAGGGGGUACAGCCCCUUUAACAAAGGAUACAACCUUCACAGGAGGAUAAAGAUCAUAAUUAAUAAAACCUACUGUUCUAGUGGGCCUGAAAGCAGCCACCUAAUUAGAAAGCGUUAAAGCUCAGACAGGAAAAAGUUUAUUAUACCAAUAAAAAAAUCUUACUCCCCUAACUAUAUUAGGCUAACCCAUACUUCUAUGGGUGAAACUAUGCUAAAAUGAGUAAUAAGAAGACCUGAUCUUCUCCUGGCACAAGUGUAAACCAGAUCGGACUAGCCGCUGGGAUUCAACGACCCCAACCAAAGAGGGCAUUGUGAUUAAUAAAAACCUCAAGGAGAGCUCACAAUUAAGUAAUCGUUACCCCCACACUGGAGUGCCAUUUAAAGGAAAGACUUAAAGAGGAGGAAGGAACUCGGCAAACAAAAGCCUCGCCUGUUUACCAAAAACAUCGCCUCCUGCAACACAAGUAUAGGAGGUCCAGCCUGCCCAGUGACUACGGGUUCAACGGCCGCGGUAUAUUGACCGUGCAAAGGUAGCGCAAUCACUUGUCUUUUAAAUAGAGACCUGUAUGAAUGGCUAGACGAGGGCUUGACUGUCUCCCCCCUCCAGUCAGUGAAAUUGAUCUGCCCGUGCAGAAGCGGACAUAAAACUACAAGACGAGAAGACCCUAUGGAGCUUAAGGUACAAAACUUAACCACGUUAAACGACUCUUUCAAAAGCAAGAACCUAGUGGCCCUAAAGUCUUACCUUCGGUUGGGGCGACCACGGAGGAAAACUAAGCCUCCGAGUGGAAUGGGUAAUCCCUAAAGCCAAAAGAGACAUCUUUAAGCCGCAGAACAUCUGACCAACAAUGAUCCGGCUCUAGGGCCGAUCAACGAACCAAGUUACCCUAGGGAUAACAGCGCAAUCCUCUCCCAGAGCCCAUAUCGACGAGGGGGUUUACGACCUCGAUGUUGGAUCAGGACAUCCUAAUGGUGCAGCCGCUAUUAAGGGUUCGUUUGUUCAACGAUUAAAGUCCUACGUGAUCUGAGUUCAGACCGGAGUAAUCCAGGUCAGUUUCUAUCUGUAACGCUACUUUUCCUAGUACGAAAGGAUCGGAAAAAGGGGGCCUAUGCUUAAAGCACGCCCCACCCCUAAUUUAUGAAACCAAAUAAAUUAAACAAGGGCGGGCCAAACCCUGCCGCCCAAAAUAAGGGCA
rnacentral:rRNA from 1 species